GGAAGACGGAACCUCCUUCCAAUCCUAGGGGCUCCUGGAAGAGUUGAACCCAGCUGGAAAAAAAGCCCAAAGGGUUUUCUCUGGGCUAGUUGGAAAACCCGUCCUGGCUCCAGUCUGCCCUCGGCCUAGUCCAUCAGAGUCCCCACAACCAGGAACCCAGAAGAGAGCACAGGAGUGUAGAUACCUGAGGACUUCCAGGAGCCAAACAGGUGGUUGCUGCACUUGGGGAGCGCUCUGCUCGGUGCACGCGGGAUUCACUGAGAUUCGGGCCCAACGAAUUCUCAGCGGCGAGAGGGGAAAAUCCUGUCGCUUCUCAGCGCCAAAAAAAACCCAAUUCUUCCUGGAGUCUGAUACCCCUGGGAGGCCUCAUCCAGGGCCUGGGAAUCCCGGAGUGAGCGGUAAGGAGAGAACGAAAUCGAAAUCCUGAGGUUUGGAGCAGGCCAGCGGUGUGGAUAACUCUGUGGACAUCAAGCACCAGCCAACGCG
rnacentral:lncRNA from 1 species